GAUGAACGCUGGCGGCGUGCUUAACACAUGCAAGUCGAACGGAAAGGCUCCUGCUUGCAGGGGUACUCGAGUGGCGAACGGGUGAGUAACACGUGGGUGAUCUGCCCUGCACUUCGGGAUAAGCCUGGGAAACUGGGUCUAAUACCGGAUAGGACGAUGGUUUGGAUGCCAUUGUGGAAAGCUUUUCGGUGUGGGAUGAGCUCGCGGCCUAUCAGCUUGUUGGUGGGGUAAUGGCCUACCAAGGCGUCGACGGGUAGCCGGCCUGAGAGGGUGUACGGCCACAUUGGGACUGAGAUGCGGCCCAGACUCCUACGGGAGGCAGCAGUGGGGAAUAUUGCUCAAUGGGCGCAAGCCUGAUGCAGCGACGCCGCGUGGGGGAUGACGGCCUUCGGGUUGUAAACUCCUUUCGCUAGGGACGAAGCGUUUUGUGACGGUACCUGGAGAAGAAGCACCGGCUAACUACGUG
rnacentral:rRNA from 1 species